AUUGAACGCUGGCGGCAUGCCUAACACAUGCAAGCCGCACGCGAAAGGGGGCAACCCUGAGUAGAGUGGCGGACGGGUGAGUAACGCGUAGGAAUCUACCUGGUAGUGGGGGACAACCCGGUGAAAACCGGGCUAAUACCGCAUACGAUCCACGGAUGAAAGCAGGGGGCCGCAAGGCCUUGCGCUAUCAGAUGAGCCUGCGUCGGAUUAGCUAGUUGGUGGGGUAAAGGCCCACCAAGGCGACGAUCCGUAGCUGGUUUGAGAGAACGACCGGCCACACUGGGACUGAGACACGGCCCUGACUCCUACGGGAGGCAGCAGUGGGGAAUAUUGGACAAUGGGGGCAACCCUGAUCCAGCAAUGCCGCGUGUGUGAAGAAGGCCUUCGGGUUGUAAAGCACUUUCGGUGGGGACAAACAAGGUGGAGCUAACAUCUCCGCCUCUGAUGAUACCCAAAGAAGAAGCACCGGCUAACUCUGUGCCAGCAGCCGCCGUAA
rnacentral:rRNA from 1 species